UAACGGUAAAAAAUUCCCGGCAAAAUUUUGACAGUUUCUUUUCCAAAAUUUUAGGUGCAUUUAAAAAAACGUGAUUGAGCAGCAAUUCAGUUUUCCCCAAAGUUUUCAAGCACAUAUGAAAAAAAUAAAUUACAGAAACGUGGAUUCAACAACGAUUCAGUUUUUACCCAAAUUCUCCCUCUCCCACACGUUCUCUUUCUCCAUCUUCAUCUCCCACACGUUCUCUCACAAUUACUACAGCAACGUUCUGGAUUUAGCAAAGAAUUUCACCGCAUUCGCUUUCAGAAAUCGUUACCGCAAUGGAUUCCGCACGAAGACGGGGAAGAAGUCUUCUUGUCAGGUGAUUGAGGGGCACGGCCCAAAGAUGACUCUGAACUUCCACAUCACAAGAAGGUUGGAGAAGGAGCUAAUGGCUCUACUGGUAUCCUUAAUAUGGAGAAAGUAAUAGAAGUUGGGAAGAAAGACACAUAUCUAGGUAGCCAGACAGUUGUUGAUAAGCUUUUAUAUUUGUUUCAGUGCAAGCAGCAACAACGACAUCUACAACAGUUAUCUGCCUGGUGCAAUCUGCAUCCUCUUAUAAUUUUUCUCUUCUUUUUCCUAUCUUAGUUGAAUAAUAUUAAGGUGUAGUGCUAUACCAUGAGGAUUCCAUCCUCUAAGGUAUUUGUUAUUUAUAAAAAGUUUACAUGUAUAGAUGUGUGUAUAUGUUUCAGUAAAUGAUAGGUUUUUAGUUUGUGUUUUCAUUGUAAGUCAUGCUACGGGAUAAUUUUAAAUUCUUUAAUCUACACCAUAAAUAUAUGAUUUAGUGGAUAUUUUUCUAAAAUUAAAAUUAUCAUAAAUGAUCAUAGUGGUAGGCUACGACCAUAUUGUCGAAGAGUGAUUAACAUUGAAAAGGUUCCUAUUCUAUUUUGAAAUCUCUUUUAUAUAAUAGUUUCAAAAACAAUGGUGAAACGCAUCCAAAUGGGUGGUUUUAUAAUUCAUACUCAUGUUUCUAUUCGCGUUGAUGUUGAUGCAAUGUUUGAUCCGGAUAAGGCGAGCAUGGGGUGGGAAUUAUCGGUCGCAACCAUGAAGGAAAAGUGAUUGUGGCAGCGGCGAAGAAGAUGAACCCAGUAUCGAGUGCUAUGAUGGCGGAGAUCAUGAUGAUCAUGCAGGGCAUUCUGCUGUGUGUGGAGCACGAGCUUGCACCGGUUGAGAUGUUCACCUGCUCGGUGCUUGCGGCCAGAACCAUGGUGGAUGAGAGGAUGAGGAAGAGAAAGCGCGGUGUCUACCCGAUGAUCUUAGAGACAUUUUACAAAUGGCAAGACAAAAUAUUUUACUGAGCAUCAACCAUGUGUAUGGAGAGGCAAAUGUGGCAGCACAUAGACUCGCCCAGCAUGCGAGAUUAAGUUCAGAGUUUGUUAGCUGGACUCACUGGUUGUAUUGAUCAAUAUAUGAGCUCUUCUCCCUUCUCAAAAACAAAUACUAGAUGUUAGGAUUUUUACAUUCUCAUGUAAAUAUAUUUACGUUUGGAUUUUGAGAAAUGAAUGUGCUUCAUUAAUAUUUGCAUAAAA